rnacentral:lncRNA from 1 species
AUGUGCGAUCUGCCUCCCGCGGCGGGCCGAGUCUCCAGGAAGGACCUGAGUUUUCUUUACCCAUGGUCAGGGAGGCGCCAUCGCCCUGGCUUUGGGGCUGGGGCCUCAGGGGAGGUUCCGGUAGGGGCCUUGGAGAGGCUGCUCUUUUUGCAAGGCCCGACACGGCGGGCCCUGCGCAGGCCACCCUAUUCCCCGCCCUCAGGGCGUCAGUAUCCGCCUGAGGCCGGAUACCCCCGCUGGGCCCAGAUGCUCCCUCUGGGCCCGGAGCAUCCUCGGCGCUGCCCUCCCAGAGCCCCGCAGAGGCUGAAGUGGCGCGGGGUAGGGGGGCCCGGCUCCGCGAGAAGCGGCGGCAGCGAGGGCUGGAGGACCCGGGCUCCCGGGCUCCGGGUCUCCGGGGCUCCGGGGGGUCUGGCCUGGGUGGGACUGAGCCCAUCCAGGAACUGGGACUCCGGGGUUCUGGUGUGGGUGGAUCCGGGGCAGGCUCAGGACCAAGUCCCUCUCCUUCCACCAAGAAGCGCCCAGAGGCCGGCGGGAGCUCCAGGUUCACCUCCUCCUCCUCCAGGAAAACCCACUUCCAACUGGAUGUCUGGAUGAACUACUGAAAGCUGCUGAGUGUCCUGCAGCAGGUGAGCUGUGGCCAGAGCCCAAGAAUGAAGGGGGCUCCCUCAGUCUGUGACUGUGAAGAGGAAGCCUGAGGUUUAGCAGGCUCAGGCCCCAGAAGUAUGGAAAAAAUGAGGUAGGGAGGGAGGGGUCCUCAGGAUAAGACUGAGGUCUACAGAAUUCCAGGGUCAAGGGGAUGGUGCGGUGUCCUGGUGCUGUCCUUGAUGUUCCAAGAGGGGAGAGAAUCCAUUUCCUGAGUAAAAGCUUCACAUGGGGUGAGGAGGGGAGAAGUGAACAGAGAGGAAACAGGGAAGGCCAAGACAGAGACCAGCCUUACAG